GACGAACGCUGGCGGCGUGCCUAACACAUGCAAGUCGAACGGAGUUUAAUAACGGAAGCCUUCGGGCGGAAGAUAUUAAACUUAGUGGCGGACGGGUGAGUAACGCGUGAGCAACCUGCCUCUCAGAGGGGGAUAACGUUUGGAAACGAACGCUAAUACCGCAUAACAUAUCUUUACCGCAUGAUAGAGAUAUCAAAGGAGCAAUCCGCUGAGAGAUGGGCUCGCGUCCGAUUAGAUAGUUGGCGGGGUAACGGCCCACCAAGUCGACGAUCGGUAGCCGGACUGAGAGGUUGAACGGCCACAUUGGGACUGAGACACGGCCCAG
rnacentral:rRNA from 1 species